rnacentral:snRNA from 1 species
GAUUGUAAGGCUGAUCUGGCUGCAACAUCUGUCAUCCCAUUGAUGAUGUGGUGGCUCUGGCUGGGCAGGGGUCUCCUUAGCCCUUUGCUACUCCAUGUGUCUUCUCGAAGCUGUGUGCUCUUUGAUGAUUGGAGAGACCAGUCAUCCCUCAUUGAGGACUGUUUCCUUGGUCAAGGGUGUGAGUAGCUGUCCUAUGCUGUUAGAACCUCAAGACGAGCUUUUAAGAUUUAAGUUGAUGACAUAAUAGAGCUAAAGUAGGAAAAAGCAUAAUGUCUUU